rnacentral:rRNA from 1 species
CUUGCUGGAUAUGAAAGUGGCGCACGGGUGCGUAACGCGUAUGCAACCUACCUUUAUCUGGGGGAUAGCCCGGAGAAAUCCGGAUUAAUACCGCAUAAAAUCACAGGAUGGCAUUAUCCAAUGAUCAAACAUUUAUGGGAUGAAGAUGGGCAUGCGUGUCAUUAGCUAGUUGGCGGGGUAACGGCCCACCAAGGCGACGAUGACUAGGGGAUCUGAGAGGAUGGCCCCCCACACUGGUACUGAGACACGGACCAGACUCCUACGGGAGGCAGCAGUAAGGAAUAUUGGUCAAUGGAGGCAACUCUGAACCAGCCAUGCCGCGUGCAGGAAGACUGCCCUAUGGGUUGUAAACUGCUUUUAUCCGGGAAUAAACCUGAGUACGUGUACUCAGCUGAAUGUACCGGAAGAAUAAGGAUCGGCUAACUCCGUGCCAGCAGCCGCGGUAAUACGGAGGAUCCAAGCGUUAUCCGGAUUUAUUGGGUUUAAAGGGUGCGUAGGCGGCCUGUUAAGUCAGGGGUGAAAGACGGUAGCUCAACUAUCGCAGUGCCCUUGAUACUGAUGGGCUUGAAUGGACUAGAGGUAGGCGGAAUGAGACAAGUAGCGGUGAAAUGCAUAGAUAUGUCUCAGAACACCGAUUGCGAAGGCAGCUUACUAUGGUCUU